rnacentral:rRNA from 1 species
CGGUACCCUGACCGCGCGAAGGUAGCAUAAUCACUUGUUCUUUAAAUAGGGACCUGUAUCAACGGCAUCACGAGGGCUGAACUGUCUCCUCUCUCCAAUCAGUGAACCUAACCUCUUCGUGAAGAGGCGAAGAUUUAAAUAUAAGACGAGAAGACCCCAUGGAGCUUUAAACCAAAUAACACCCUCUUUAAUAUACACCCUAAGAAAUAAGAAGCCUGUUAGCUAGUUUUCGGCUGGGGCAUCCGGGGAGUAAAACCCAACCUCCCUGACAAACCAUCACAGAGCUACCACUCUAAGAGACAGCAAGCUGUAGUAACAUGACCCGUCUAUCGACCAACGAACCAAGUUACCCUGGGGAUAACAGCGCAAUCCAUUUCGAGAGCCCCUAUCGACAAAUGGGUUUACGACCUCGAUGUUGGAUCAGGGUAUCCCAGUGGUGCAGCCGCUACUAAAGGUUCGUUUGUUCAACGAUUAAAACCCUACGUGAUCUGAGU